GCGGCCAUAGUCUAGGGGUUAUGAUUCGAGCCUUCCAAGCUCGUGACCCGGGUUCGAAUCCCGGUGGCCGCACCA
rnacentral:tRNA from 3 species